AGUGAACGCUGGCGGUAGGCCUAACACAUGCAAGUCGAACGGCAGCACAGUAAGAGCUUGCUCUUACGGGUGGCGAGUGGCGGACGGGGGAGGAAUACAUCGGAAUCUACUUUUUUGUGGGGGAUAACGUAGGGAAACUUACGCUAAUACCGCAUACGACCUACGGGUGAAAGCAGGGGAUCUUUGGACCUUGCGCGAUUGAAUGAGCCGAUGUCGGAUUAGCUAGUUGGCGGGGUAAAGGCCCACCAAGGCGACGAUCCGUAGCUUGUCUGAGAGGAUGAUCAGCCACACUGGAACUGAGACACGGUCCAGACUCCUACGGGAGGCAGCAGUGGGGAAUAUUGGACAAUGGGCGCAAGCCUGAUCCAGCCAUACCGCGUGGGUGAAGAAGGCCUUCGGGUUGUAAAGCCCUUUUGUUGGGAAAGAAAAGCAGCAGGUUAAUACCCCGCUGUUCUGACGGUACCCAAAGAAUAAGCACCGGCUAACUUCGUG
rnacentral:rRNA from 1 species